CUGAGCACAGCUGGAUCAGCUGGAUACUAAGAUUUACUAGUAUACUAAAGUUUUUGUCUAACUAGAUGUCUUUCGAAGACGUAGACAACAACAACAACGAUGUGAUAUCAAUAUACGACCGCAAAAUUUAUUUUUUGCUGUUGUAUAUAAAAAAAAACAACUUUAAGCAAAGAAUGAGUAUUUUAUUAGACAUAAAUAAAGACAUGAAUGCAAAGCACUUAAUAAUUCAAAUACAAUUUUAAACAAAUAUCUCAUUCAAAAUGUUCUAAUUCAAAAUAUAUUGAAAUGAUUUGAUGAAAUAUGGGAGUCAAACUUAAUAUUCAUCAUCCAAUGUGGGCUAUUCCAAAAUGAAAUGAAUAGGGGUGGAAGGCAAUUUUUCCUAAAAUGCCCGCUAAUUUGAUAUUUUUAAGCCUUUUUAUGUGAUAGAUGUUUUGAACCCCACUACCCCUAAAUAUUUGGGUACCUACCCCAAGGCCUCAACUCCAUACAAUUAAUUCUGGAAUAGCCCUGUACAAUUUCAUUUUAAUUUAAAAUCAAUCUUGCCAAGUUAUAUUCCAUUCAACACAAAUACAUCCAACAUGAAAAGAUAUCAUAAACAGCAUAUGACAGCACAGCAUGUAUGCAAUAGAUAUCAUAUGAGAUUUCAGAUGAAGAUUGUUUUAAAUCUCAUCAUACAUAAAAGUACAAAAAUAUAAAAUAAGAAAUACAUAUGGGAAUCUCAAAGCAAUGUCUUCACAUUUCUUGCACCAAUCUGUAUAUAUCAAUUAACAAAAAUAAUAACAAAGAUAAAAAUGAAACUUGUAAAACAGAUACACAUUUCAUCUAAAUCUACCAAAACAUUUCUAAGAGUGUAACUUUUGAUAGUCUUUCAUUCUGUGUGAAUCUGUCAUACUAGUACAAAUAAGUGGAUGGUUAUAAAAUAAAUAAAUUGCUUUGCCGAGCACAGCUGGAUACGACCGCAGAGGUCCAACCCUGAACCGUUGGGUCAAAAAUGGACACAAUAUUCAUGCUUGAUACAGGUCUGAAUUUGGAUUGUAAUUUCAAAUAUUUGACACAUAAAAGGUUUCUGACACAGAAUGACUGUAGUCAAAGAACUAAUAUUGAUCAUAUAUGAUUUGAAUUUAUACUCAAUGUGCAAUACAAUAUGCUGUUGCGAUUUAAAAGAAAUUAAAAUUUAAUUUCUGAAAUCUGAAAUGAGAAAAAAUUGCCUACCCCAAUUUUUUUUAACAACCCCUCCCCCCUCCUUGUUAGAAAACAGCUUACAAAGUAUCCAAUGUAUAAUAAAAAAUUAGAACUUAAUUAUCUUCUAACUCUUAUCUUAUCUUAUCUAGUCUGGCUGGAGGUCUUUUAUUUCUAUAUGCUUCAAAUCUUUAGUCUAUUUUUCUUCUUUUUUUUUGGCCAAUUAUUCUGGAGUGGUAAUAUUUAAGCCCCCAAUUUUUCUCUUUUUUUAAGUUAUUUUGUUCUAUUCUUUGUUUGUUUGUUAGCUAAAUAACAUUAUAGAAACAGAUUCCAUCCCUAUUGUAUUACAAUAUAUCUCAACAGUUACAUUUUAAAUAUUCAAAAUUAAACUGUCUAUUAUGCAGUGGUGGAAUCUAUGUCUUCAUCACAAUCAUCACAAAGAGUACAGUAAUAUAUAACAUAUAAAUCUCAUUCAAAAAUCAUCAUAGAUGUAAGUGCAUUCAUUUAUUAAAUCAGAUUAAGUGUAAAAAGCAGUAAGCUGAAACUUUUCCUGUCAUUUUUUUAACAUUUUGAAUAAAUGUUAUUUUUUGUAUGUUUGAAAGAUGACUAAAGUAAUGAUGUACAAUAUUCAUUGAAGUUUGGAAACUCAUAUUUGAUAAAAAAAAAAAAAAAAUGAGUUCUACAUCUUGUUUAUUUCACUGUUAAAAGUUUUCAAAAAGUUUAACAUCUGUCUCACUGUUACCAUAAAUUUGAAUAAAAUUUUAAAAAUAAAUCAGUUAAAUUUUAAAAAUUAGGAAAAAUUCAAAUCAUACUGUUUUCUAUAUCUUAUUUUGCAACUACAAGUAAUAGAUGAAGUUCAGAGUGAGUUAGCUAUAAUUGUAGGACAUAUAAACAGUUAACAAGAUCAUAUUUAGUACAAGCACAUAUUAAAUGUAAAUAUACAACAAUUAGCACAUCAACAUACAAUAGGAAUUCAAUAAUUGAAACAAGCAUAAAUACAGAAUAUGGCUCAUAUGUAUCAUAAGGCCACACAUUUUCUUAUAACUGGUCAGAUUUAAGUAUAUAAAGUCAAGAUU
rnacentral:lncRNA from 1 species